rnacentral:rRNA from 1 species
ACGGAAGGCAGCAGUGGGGAAUAUUGCACAAUGGGGGAAACCCUGAUGCAGCAACGCCGCGUGAAGGAUGAAGGCCCUUGGGUCGUAAACUUCUGUUCUAAGGGAAGAUAAUGACGGUACCUUAGGGGCAAGUCCCGGCUAACUACGUGCCAGCAGCCGCGGUAAUACGUAGGGGGCAAGCGUUAUCCGGAAUUAUUGGGCGUAAAGAGUGCGUAGGUGGUUUCCUAAGCAUGGGGUUUAAGGCAAUGGCUUAACCAUUGUUCGCCCCAUGAACUGGGUUACUUGAGUGCUGGAGAGGAAAGCGGAAUUCCUAGUGUAGCGGUGAAAUGCGUAGAUAUUAGGAAGAACACCAGUGGCGAAGGCGGUUAGCUGGACAGUAACUGACGCUGAGGCGCGAAAGCGUGGGUAGCAAACAGGAUUAGAUACCCUGGUA